rnacentral:rRNA from 1 species
UCGGGUUGUAAAGCACUUUUGUCCGGAAAGAAAACUUCUGUCCUAAUACGGCGGGGGGAUGACGGUACCGGAAGAAUAAGCACCGGCUAACUACGUGCCAGCAGCGCGGUAAUCGUAGGGUGCGAGCGUUAAUCGGAAUUACUGGGCGUAAAGCGUGCGCAGGCGGUUCGUUAAGACAGAUGUGAAAUCCCCGGGCUUAACCUGGGAACUGCAUUCGUGACUGGCGGGCUAGAGUAUGGCAGAGGGGGGUAGAAUUCCACGUGUAGCAGUGAAAUGCGUAGAGAUGUGGAGGAAUACCGAUGGCGAAGGCAGCCCCCUGGGCCAAUACUGACGCUCAUGCACGAAAGCGUGGGGAGCAAACAGGAUUAGAUACCCUGGUAGUCCACGCCCUAAACGAUGUCAACUAGUUGUCGGGUCUUCAUUGACUUGGUAACGUAGCUAACGCGUGAAGUUGACCGCCUGGGGAGUACGGUCGCAAGAUUAAAACUCAAAGGAAUUGACGGGGACCCGCACAAGCGGUGGAUGAUGUGGAUUAAUUCGAUGCAACGCGAAAAACCUUACCUACCCUUGACAUGGACGGAACCUGGCUG